AUACGGAAGGUCCGGGCGUUAUCCGGAUUUAUUGGGUUUAAAGGGAGCGCAGGCGGAGAUGCAAGCGUGACGUCAAAUUUCGGGGCUCAACCCCGUCUCGCGUCGCGAACUGCGUCCCUUGGUUGCGGGAAGGGGAGGCGGAACUCGUGGUGUAGCGGUGAAAUGCAUAGAUAUCACGAAGAACUCCGAUCGCGAAGGCAGCCUUCCGGCCCGUCAACGACGCUCAUGCUCGAAGGUGCGGGUAUCAAACAGGAUUAGAUACCCUGGUAGUCCGCACAGUAAACGAUGGACACCCGCGGUUUGGCCUGUAUGGCUGAGCCGCCAAGCGAAAGCGUUAAGUGUCCCACCUGGGGAGUACGCCGGCAACGGUGAAACUCAAAUGAAUUGGCGGGG
rnacentral:rRNA from 1 species